rnacentral:siRNA from 1 species
UAGUUCGGGCUCUAUCUGGCA